rnacentral:rRNA from 1 species
GAUGAACGCUGGCGGCGUGCUUAACACAUGCAAGUCGAACGAAGCACCUCUCCCGAAGAUUGACACAGCUUGCUGUAGGUUGAUUCAUUUGAGGUGACUGAGUGGCGGACGGGUGAGUAACGCGUGGGUAACCUGCCUCAUAGAGGGGGACAACAGUUGGAAACGACUGCUAAUACCGCAUAGUAAGAAGAAUUCGCAUGUUUUCUUCUUGAAAGAUUUAUCGCUAUGAGAUGGACCCGCGUCUGAUUAGCUAGUUGGUAAGGUAACGGCUUACCAAGGCGACGAUCAGUAGCCGGCUUGAGAGAGUGAACGGCCACAUUGGGACUGAGACACGGCCCAAACUCCUACGGGAGGCAGCAGUGGGGAAUAUUGCACAAUGGGGGAAACCCUGAUGCAGCGACGCCGCGUGAGUGAAGAAGUAUUUCGGUAUGUAAAGCUCUAUCAGCAGGGAAGAUAAUGACGGUACCUGACUAAGAAGCCCCGGCUAACUACGUG